AUUGAACGCUGGCGGAAUGCUUUACACAUGCAAGUCGAGCGGCAGCGCGGGGGCAACCCUGGCGGCGAGCGGCGAACGGGUGAGUAAUACAUCGGAACGUGUCCUUGAGUGGGGGAUAGCUCGGCGAAAGCCGGAUUAAUACCGCAUAAGCUCUGCGGAGGAAAGCGGGGGACUGGUAACGGCCUCGCGCUGUUGGAGCGGCCGAUGUCGGAUUAGCUAGUUGGUGGGGAAAGGCCCACCAAGGCGACGAUCCGUAGCUGGUCUGAGAGGAUGAUCAGCCACACUGGAACUGAGACACGGUCCAGACUCCUACGGGAGGCAGCAGUGGGGAAUUUGGACAAUGGGGCAACCCUGAUCCAGCCAUUCCGCGUGAGUGAAGAAGGCCUGGUGUAAG
rnacentral:rRNA from 1 species